UACAGAGACUGCAAGCGUUAUUCGGAUUCACUGGGCGUAAAGGGUGCGCAGGCGGCCAAGUGUGUUAGGUGUGAAAGCCCGGGGCUUAACCCCGGAAUUGCACCUAAAAACUACAUGGCUAGAGCAUUGGAGAGGGGAGCAGAAUUCACGGUGUAGCAGUGAAAUGCGUAGAUAUCGUGAGGAAUACCAGAGGCGAAGGCGGCUCCCGUGGACAAUUGCUGACGCU
rnacentral:rRNA from 1 species